GAAGGCUGAGGUGUGCGCCUUUUUUUUUUUUCCUUCUUAGUCGUGUGUACAUCAUUGGGAAUGGAGGGAAAUAAAUGACUGGAUGGUCGCUGCUUUUUAAGUUUCAAAUUGACACUCUAGGCAAGCGGUGCCUGAGCCCGUGCCUGUCUUCAGAUCUUCACAGCACAGUUCCUGGGAAGGUGGAGCCACCAGCCUCUCCCUGAAUAACUGGGAGAUGAAACAGGAAGCUCUAUGACACACUUGAUCGAAUAUGACAGACACCGAAAAUCACGACUCAGCCCCCUCCAGCACCUCUACCUGUUGCCCGCCGAUCACAGCCAGAAUGCAGCUGAAAGAUUCCCUGGGGCCUGGUUCCAACCGCCCGCUGUGGACUCUGAGGCCUCUGCAUUUGCGGGUGGUCUGCCUGUGAUAUUUUGGUCAUGGUCUGGUCAGGUCGGUUUCCCAUUUGUCUGGCCAGUCUCUAUGUGUCUUAAUCCCUUGUCCUUCAUUAAAAGCAAAACUAAAGAAAACAGAA
rnacentral:lncRNA from 1 species